rnacentral:ncRNA from 2 species
CGCUCAUCCAGAGGGGCAGAGGGAAACGGCCCGAUGAAGCCCCGGCAACCCUCCAGUCGGUCUCGCACGCGCACGUGCCCGCGAGGUCCCCGGCUAGGGAAGGUGCCAAAUCCGUCUCACGGCGAAAGACGCCAGUGAGAAAGAUGAGGA